GAAGCACGCCGGACCGCCGCUGGUGCAUGUCUCGAAAGAGCGCACUGGAGGAACGUCCGGACUGCACAGGACAGCGCAGGAGCUAACGGCUCUCCACCGCGAGGUGAGGAUCAGAGCAACAGAGACGAGUCGGCCGGGGGCAACCCCGGCCGGGUGAAACGGGCAAUCUCUGCGCGCAGCAACACCAAGUAGGCCAGCGUUGAUGUGGAUCCGCAGAGCUGGCGGGUAGGUGGCACCGAGCCGUUCGGCGACGAACGGCCCAGAGUAAUGGCGGUCACGUCGGCGUCUCGCAAGAGCGCCGAUGCACAGAAUCCGGCUUACAGGCGGGCUUCACAC
rnacentral:RNase_P_RNA from 2 species